rnacentral:rRNA from 1 species
AUUGAACGCUGGCGGCAUGCCUUACACAUGCAAGUCGAACGGCAGCGGACCUUCGGGUGCCGGCGAGUGGCGAACGGGUGAGUAAUAUAUCGGAACGUACCUUUCAGUGGGGGAUAACGUAGCGAAAGUUACGCUAAUACCGCAUAUUCUGUGAGCAGGAAAGCAGGGGAUCGCAAGACCUUGCGCUGAUUGAGCGGCCGAUAUCAGAUUAGCUAGUUGGUGAGGUAAAGGCUCACCAAGGCGACGAUCUGUAGCGGGUCUGAGAGGAUGAUCCGCCACACUGGAACUGAGACACGGUCCAGACUCCUACGGGAGGCAGCAGUGGGGAAUUUUGGACAAUGGGCGCAAGCCUGAUCCAGCCAUGCCGCGUGAGUGAAGAAGGCCUCGGUUGUAAGACGUCUUUCGGUCCGGGACGGAAGUACGACACAGGUUAAGUAACCUCGUGUGGAUGACGGUACCGGAACGUAAGAAGACACCGG